rnacentral:rRNA from 1 species
CCUACGGGAGGCAGCAGUGGGGAAUAUUGGACAAUGGGGGGAACCCUGAUCCAGCCAUGCCGCGUGUGUGAAGAAGGCCCUCGGGUUGUAAAGCACUUUCAGUGAGGAAGAACGCCUGGUGGUUAAUACCCAUCAGGAAAGACAUCACUCACAGAAGAAGCACCGGCUAACUCCGUGCCAGCAGCCGCGGUAAUACGGAGGGUGCGAGCGUUAAUCGGAAUUACUGGGCGUAAAGCGCGCGUAGGUGGCUUGAUAAGCCGGUUGUGAAAGCCCCGGGCUCAACCUGGGAACGGCAUCCGGAACUGUCAAGCUAGAGUGCAGGAGAGGAAGGUAGAAUUCCCGGUGUAGCGGUGAAAUGCGUAGAGAUCGGGAGGAAUACCAGUGGCGAAGGCGGCCUUCUGGACUGACACUGACACUGAGGUGCGAAAGCGUGGGUAGCAAACAGGAUUAGAUACCCUUGAAGUC